GGGAACCGUCGCCACUCGGACAAGUUGUGCGUCAGCCCUCGGUGACACUUAGAAAAUAUUCGCAAAAUUUUAUCGGACCUCCAGGACCGCUUUUUCACCCUCGCUGUCCGACCGGGGAACCGUCGUAGCUCGGACAGCUUGUGUGCCAGCAUCCGCUGGCGCCACGAACGGCGAAAAAUCAGCCUCUCCCUGCCGCACAAGCUGUCCGAAUUGCGACGGUUCUCCUUUCGGGGCCGAUUUUUUUUUUUUAAUGGGCCAUUAUGAUGGCGGAAUGUUUAUGAGCGCUCAGAUUGCGGCGUAGACUUUAUCACCUCCAAUGCAACACCUUUCAGAAUAUCAAAUAAGGUCAUGGAGGCGAUUCUUUCUGCUUUCUAUUUGCUUCAGUGAUGCACUUGAAAUAUUUUCUAAGUGCCAGCGUGGGCUGCCGCACAACUUGUCCGAGUGGCGACGGUUCCCCGGUCGGCCACGAAUGGCGAAAAUUCGGCCUCUCCACCACGGAGAGAGGAAGAGCGGCCAAGUGAACGAGGCGCAGCAGGUCAAAGGCCUCCAGGCGGACGCCUUUCCAUAACCCGGCGCCAGGGAAGGACGGACCCCAGUCCCAACUGAACGAACUCUGGGCCUGAGCCACAAACACACGCAGGAAGCAAAGCACUGGCUUCACUACACAUUCGUUCCAGAUUACUGUGGUGCCUUGAAACGCGAGUUGAAUUUAUUUCAUGACCGGCAAAUCUGAUACCCAUUGAAAUACACUGGAAUUAUAUUUUUUUUUUUAACAAAAAAUCCUUCAACCCUGGACAAUAGCAUACAAAGAAAUGAACGGUCGCUGCUAGUAGAACUAACUAUUUGAUUUAAAAACUAAACCCAAUAAAAUAUUAACUAAAAAACACAUGCUUUAAAGAAAAUUAAAUUAAGCCAGAAAAUAUAAACCCAGGCAAUUUUAAUCCUGGUUGGGACUCACUUUCCUGAUGAAAUUGACGUGACAUUGUCCUUUCUGGACGUCGGGCGGACACUCGGGAGGAACGCUGUAUGCAGUGUGAGCGUUCCUUUUCUGGGCGGCGAACACAACAGAAGACAGGAUGUGAACCGUCAACGUGUUGUCCGCGGCCUUCAGCAGUCCUUGGACGGGAAAGACCUGCGGGAGAAAAAGGCGUUGAAAGAGUUGCGGAAAGGACGGACAGACGGGCAGACAGGAUGAACGCACAUAUGGGCAGAACAUGUUGUCCGUGCUGCCCACCAACACACCGUUGAGCCAAACGGACGCCGCUGUGUCCACGCCGUCCAAUAUCAGAAGCACUUGCCGCUUGGACCUGUUUACGAGGGCACAGUUACAAAGAUGGCUCUGUAAAAAAAUUAUAGACCGUGAUUUCCAUGUGUAAUGCGCAAAAUUUAACGAAUUAAUUGUCCUAAAAUUUGGGGUGCGCAUUAUGCAUGGGUGGGUAUAACAAUUUUUGAAGAAAAUCUCCUUCGAAAUAAAACUUGAAAUCAUC